rnacentral:rRNA from 1 species
CAGCAGCCGCGGGAAUACGAAGGGUGCAAGCGUUAAUCGGAAUUACUGGGCGUAAAGAGCUCGUAGGCGGUUUGUCGCGUCUGCCGUGAAAGUCCGGGGCUCAACCCCGGAUCUGCGGUGGGUACGGGCAGACUAGAGUGAUGUAGGGGAGACUGGAAUUCCUGGUGUAGCGGUGUAAUGCGCAGAUAUCAGGAGGAACACCGAUGGCGAAGGCAGGUCUCUGGGCAUUAACUGACGCUGAGGAGCGAAAGCAUGGGGAGCGAACAGGAUUAGAUACCCGCGUAGUCCCUGUCUCUUAUAC